UUGUGUUAACCUAUAGGUAUUAUUACAACUUUACCAUAUAGUAUUUCAUUUGUAUUCAUACACUGCAAUGGAAAGAGUUAAUUGAAUAUACCAGCCUAUAAAUACAACUAAAUACAGACAUUUCUUUAGUUUCUUUCAAAACAAGUCAUCUUUUUCUAUAUUUGUUAUGUUACCACGCUAAAACCAUUGCUAUUGGCUGUCUCCCCACGUUGCUUUGAACAUGAUUGGAUAAUCUGCCUGUCACUCAGAGAACUGGCCAAUGAGAAAUGUCCGCGCCGCGGAUUUGAAAUUACGUCUGUUUGAGCGGGAAGCCGCAGCGGGGCAGGCGAUACUCGGCAGGUCUGCUAGUGUCUGCUGUUGACCUACCUGCAUUAUUACCUGAAGUAUUUUACAUAUGCCUGCGAUUUUAACUUGUGGGAUGUCAACGGAGAAAGAAAGACUGGGACACAGAGGAAGGAUCAUACGGGAUGUGGUGACCAGCAAAGUUACGUGAAUUGAUAUCCUGCAAAAUUAUUGAAGAUAUCAGCACUGGACCCUGAGCAGUGCAUGGCCUGCAAGAUCAUGAGAAGGCUGAAGAACCAGGAGUGACAAGAUACCACUGGAUGGUGGGGCACAUCAUUCCACUCAAGGACAGUGAUCUGAAAAUGUCUGUUUACCAACGGUCCCCAUCCAACCUGACAGAGCGUGUGAGGAUCUGCAGAAAAGAAUGGCAGAACAUCCCCAAAUCCAGGGUAUUGAGUGUAGAUUGAUGAGCUCAAUAAGGAUUGGAACAACAUUGACGGGGGGAAACACCCAAAGUCCA